rnacentral:snRNA from 1 species
AUCUCAUUUCAACCACUUUUUAAAAAACUGAUAAACCCUUUUGACACAGAAUUGUCCUCUAUCCGAGGACAAUAUAUUAAAUGGAUUUUUGGAGCAGGGAGAUGGAGAUGGAAUAGGAGCUUGCUCCGUCCACUCUGCGCAUCGACCUGGUAUUGCAGUACCUCCAGGAACGGUGCAUCCCCU